CUCUUUGGCUGAACUUUUCUAGAAAGGUCUAGAAGUGCGCGCGUGUGUAGUUUUCUUUAAUGUGAGAGGUUCAAUUAGUAAGAUAGUUAAUACAAAGUUCGUUAGUAAGGUGUUAGUCGCUGUAAAAUUGUUAUAAAAAUUUAUAGUUAAAACACGACACAAAGCAAACAACAAAAACGAACACGUUAAAAAGCAACAAGAAAAAGGUCCAAAGUAUGGGCCUUUUUCUGUAUUUUUGGAAUAAUCCCCAGCAACCUCGGCGGCGAGAAUGGCGACAGAAGGUCGGCAUCAGCAGCGCACCGCAAUCUGCUUCAGCCAAAGCCGCCAUUGUUAUGGCAUCCAUGUGGCUCAACGCAACGGAGCCCAACAUUUCGACCAGACGUCCGGUAAUUUCACCGAUGUUCGCCAACGCCUGCCGCUGGAGUCAAACCACGCUUCCGAGGCCGCUUUCCGCCAUCUCCGUCGGCAUCUGCUAGACUGGCUCAACGUAGAUCGCUCUACUAGGUUACAGAGCGAGCUACCCGUAUGCGGAACCGGAGGUUCCCCCAAAACCUGUCGACCGACCACAACCGCAAGUAUAAACCCCCUGCAAAACUGACGUCACAACAAUAAAACAGACGAGGUCGUAAAACUGA